GACGAACGCUGGCGGCGUGCUUAACACAUGCAAGUCGAACGGAAAGGCCCUGCUUUUGUGGGGUGCUCGAGUGGCGAACGGGUGAGAAACACGUGAGUAACCUGCCCUUGACUUUGGGAUAACUUCAGGAAACUGGGGCUAAUACCGGAUAGGAGCUCCUGCUGCAUGGUGGGGGUUGGAAAGGUUCGGCGGUUGGGGAUGGACUCGCGGCUUAUCAGCUUGUUGGUGGGGUAGUGGCUUACCAAGGCUUUGACGGGUAGCCGGCCUGAGAGGGUGACCGGCCACAUUGGGACUGAGAUACGGCCCAGACUCCUACGGGAGGCAGCAGUGGGGAAUAUUGCACAAUGGGCGGAAGCCUGAUGCAGCAACGCCGCGUGCGGGAUGACGGCCUUCGGGUUGUAAACCGCUUUCGCCUGUGACGAAGCGUGAGUGACGGUAAUGGGUAAAGAAGCACCGGCUAACUACGUG
rnacentral:rRNA from 1 species